AGCGGACAGCGCGCCGGAGCGUGCGCGCGCGCCCCCGCUCUCAGCUCCGAUCGGUCUCGGGAGCGCGCUCUGUGUGGCCGCUGCCGCCAUGUUGUUGUGGUUGUGAGAAGGCGGCGGCGGCAGCGGCGGCGGCGGCGGCGGAGCAGCCGGCGGAGACGCUCCAGCGGCCCAGGCGCUGGCCCCCGCCGACCCUGGCUGGCAGCCUCCUGGGGUGGCGGAGGAGGCCCUGCGGUGGCGGGCCUCGCCAUGUCCUGCCGCCUGUAAAAGGUCUCAAGCAGAAGAGAAAGAGUAGCCUUGUCAGAGACUGGAGAAGGACGCAGCCGCUCCUGACCUGGCCUGGUCAUGGAUGAAGAGAUGCGGCAUAGCCUUGAGUGCAUCCAGGCCAAUCAGAUCUUUCCCAGGAAGCAGCUGAUUCGGGAGGAUGAGAAUCUUCAGGUUCCUUUCCUUGAACUUCAUGGAGAGAGCACAGAGUAUGUGGGCCGUGCUGAGGAGGCCAUCAUUGCUCUUUCUAAUUACAGGCUUCACAUCAAGUUCAAGGAGUCUCUUGUCAAUGUUCCAUUACAGCUUAUUGAAAGCGUUGAAUGCCGUGAUAUAUUUCAGCUUCAUUUGACAUGCAAAGACUGCAAAGUUAUCAGGUGUCAGUUCCCAACCUUUGAGCAAUGUCAAGAUUGGCUUAAGAGAUUGAACAAUGCAAUCCGACCACCUGGUAAAAUAGAAGAUCUCUUCUCAUUUGCAUACCAUGCUUGGUGCAUGGAGGUCUACGCCAGUGAAAAGGAGCAGCAUGGAGACCUGUGCAGACCAGGGGAACAUGUGACGUCAAGGUUUAAGAAUGAAGUGGAGCGGAUGGGUUUUGAUAUGAACAAUGCCUGGAGGAUUUCCAACAUCAAUGAGAAAUACAAAUUAUGUGGUAGUUAUCCACAAGAGCUCAUAGUGCCUGCUUGGAUCACUGACAAAGAGCUGGAAAGCGUGGCAGGCUUCAGAUCCUGGAAGCGCAUCCCUGCUGUCAUCUACAGGCACCAGAGCAAUGGAGCUGUCAUUGCCCGCUGCGGACAACCGGAGGUUAGCUGGUGGGGCUGGCGAAAUGCUGAUGAUGAACAUCUGGUGCAGUCAGUGGCCAGAGCCUGUGCUUCUGACUCUCAGUCAAGUAUCAGCAAGGUUUCCACUCGGAACAGUUGUCGGGACUUUCCCAACGCAGGGGAUCUUUCAGAUGUGGAGUUCGAUUCCUCUCUGUCAAAUACUUCAGGAGCAGAAAGUUUAGCUCUCCAGCCCCAGAAGCUUUUGAUCUUGGAUGCACGCUCCUAUGCAGCAGCUGUGGCAAAUCGAGCCAAAGGAGGAGGCUGUGAGUGCCCAGAGUAUUAUCCUAACUGUGAAGUUGUGUUUAUGGGAAUGGCAAACAUACAUUCUAUCCGGAGGAGUUUCCAGUCUCUGCGGCUGCUGUGCACACAGAUGCCAGAUCCUGGAAAUUGGCUUUCUGCCCUUGAAAGUACAAAGUGGCUCCAUCACCUAUCUGUGCUUCUGAAGUCGGCACUUCUCGUGGUGCAUGCUGUGGACCGUGAUCAGCGACCAGUGCUAGUGCACUGCUCCGAUGGCUGGGAUCGGACUCCCCAGAUUGUGGCCCUAGCUAAGCUCCUACUUGACCCUUAUUACCGAACCAUAGAGGGUUUCCAAGUCCUGGUGGAGAUGGAAUGGCUCGAUUUUGGCCAUAAGUUUGCUGACCGGUGUGGUCAUGGGGAGGACUCAGAUGAUCUGAAUGAGCGCUGCCCAGUGUUUCUACAAUGGCUUGACUGUGUUCAUCAACUUCAGAGGCAGUUUCCUUGCUCUUUUGAGUUCAACGAAGCAUUCCUUGUGAAACUGGUACAGCAUACCUAUUCCUGUCUCUUUGGAACAUUCCUGUGCAACAACGCCAAAGAGAGAGGGGAAAAGCAGACUCAGGAACGGACAUGCUCUGUGUGGUCACUUCUUCGAGCAGGCAACAAGGCUUUCAAAAACCUACUGUAUUCAUCUCAGUCAGAAGCCGUGCUCUACCCCGUGUGCCAUGUGCGGAAUCUGAUGCUGUGGAGCGCAGUGUACCUUCCCUGCCCAUCCCCAUCUACCCCCACAGAUGACAGCUGUGCACCAUACCCAGUCCCAGGCACUAGCCCUGAUGAGCCCCCACUGAGCCGGCUACCCAAGACUAGAUCAUUUGACAAUCUGACCACAACCUGCGAAAACAUGGUGCCGCUGGCCAGCCGGCGCAGCAGUGACCCCAGCCUGAAUGAGAAGUGGCAGGAGCACGGGCGCUCGCUGGAGCUGAGCAGCUUUGCCAGCGCUGGGGAAGAGGUGCCUGCUAUGGACAGCCUGCGCAAGCCCAGCAGGCUGCUCGGAGGUGCUGAGCUUUCUGUGGCAGCCGGAGUGGCUGAAGGGCAGAUGGAGAACAUUUUGCAAGAGGCCACCAAAGAGGAGAGUGGGGUAGAAGAGCCUACCCACAGGGGGCACACUGAGGUGCCAGAGGUCAAAGAGGAGGCACCCCUAGCAAAAGAAAGUAGCAUGGCGGCCGAGGGCCCCGUUGUACUUUACCAAGAACCACAGCUGGAUGACGCUACUUUAAGAAGCCAUCAAGGCCCCAGCCUCUCUUUGUUCUCCCAGGGUAUUCCUGAACAUCAGGAUGGGCACAAUGUCCUCUCUAGUUCACUCCAAGCUCCUCUCAGGGGAGAGGACUCCCAGGAGGUCCCUGUAGAACAGCCUCAAGUAGAGAAUAUUGCAGAGGACAGGGAGAAUGUAGCUCCUGCUGUCCCAGUAGAUGCAAAAGUUGGCCUUGGUAUCUCACAGUCUAGUUCUCUGCUGCCUUCCCAAGUCCCAUUCGAGACAAGAGGACCACACAUCAACAACUCCGUGCACAUGUUACUCGAAGAUAAGGUAAAGUCAGAAAGUGGGCCCCAGCUCCAUCACAGACCUUGCCCAGCAAGCAGUGGUAGAUUCAGUGGCAAGGACAUGCUUCCUGUAGCACCAGAGCCCAGGUCUGCUGAGAGGCCCCAGUGGGACUCUGUGCUACACAGGACUUCAUCCCCUGGCAACACCCUUAGCCUGCUGCAGGCUCCUUGUGCCUUGCCGUUAGAUAAAUGUAGACAGGGAAUUGUGUGCAACGGUGCCCUAGAGACUGAAAACAAGGCCUCAGAACAGCCUGCAGGGUUUGACACCCUUCAGAAGUACCCCACACCCAAUGGGCAUUGUGCCAAUUGGGAGGCUGGGAGGAGCAAGGACUCACUGAGCCACCAGCUGUCUGCCACAAGCUGUAGCUCUGCUCACUUGUACUCGAGGAACUUGCACCACAAGUGGCUGAAUAGCCACUCAGGGAGGCCAUCCACUACCAGCAGCCCUGACCAGCCUUCCCGCAGCCACCUGGAUGACGAUGGCAUGCCUGUGUACACGGACACAAUCCAACAGCGCCUGCGACAGAUAGAGUCUGGUCACCAGCAGGAAGUGGAGACCUUGAAGAAACAAGUCCAGGAGUUGAAGAGUCGCCUGGAGAGCCAGUACCUGACCAGCUCUCUGCGCUUCAAUGGAGACUUUGGAGAUGAAGUGACUUCAAUCCCCGACUCGGAAAGCAAUCUGGAUCAGAACUGUGUGUCUCGCUGCAGCACAGAGAUUUUCUCUGAAGCCAGCUGGGAGCAGGUGGAUAAACAGGACACAGAGAUGACUCGUUGGCUACCUGACCACCUGGCUGCCCACUGCUAUGCCUGUGACAGUGCCUUCUGGCUCGCCAGUAGGAAGCACCACUGCAGGGACACUGACUGUGUCGAUCAAACGUGGUGAGCAUUUACAACAACUUGUCUGUGAUGCCUGCACAGCCACAGUAACUUCUCCACACUAAUGCUGCCGUUCCUUUUCUGCACGCACUGGGCCUUGGCAGGCAGGAAUUGUGGGAAUGUAUUCUGCUCCAGUUGUUGUAACCAGAAGGUUCCGGUUCCUAGCCAGCAGCUCUUUGAACCCAGUCGAGUGUGCAAGUCUUGCUAUAGCAGCCUCCAUCCUACAAGCUCCAGCAUUGACCUUGAACUGGAUAAGCCUAUUGCUGCCACUUCAAACUGAAGCUCAGUGACCCGGGGUGGCAGAGGCCAUGCUGCUGUUCCUUUAACAGGCUCACACACAGCCUGGGCAGUCCAAGAGGCCCAUACAUUUUGGAAUGGGGGCAUGGAAUAACCUGUACAGAGAUUGGGAUGUACCACUGGAUUGUAAAUUGAUUUUUGUUUCAUCUCCCCUUCCCUUCCAUCCUCUUCUUUGCCUUCUAAAAAGAAAAAUAUCCCAGUUGUCUUAAUUUUUUUUUUAAUGGAAGCCCAGAGGUUGCCAGGCUCUUAUAACUGCUGAGCCGCUUGCUGUCAGUCAUUCUGUGAGAUCACUCAGUGCUUCCCUGUGGGAGGAGCCAGAAUGAAGGCCUGAGACAGCAGGACAGAAAGUCAGCCUCCCAUUGGUAACCAUUCUUCACAUCACAGCUAUGUCAGAGUUGACUGGUAAACCUUGCUGCUGGGGAGGCUGGAAGCCCUUUUGAGAGUACGUUCCUGAGAGGGAUAGGGCCAUCCCACCUCACAGACAAAAAGCAGGGUGGCGUUGGGAGGAAAGCACACAGUGAGCUACUCCCCAGGCCUCACUUUGAAACGAGAGGUAUGUGCUGCUUUUGAGUUAACUGAGGGGCUAGAUGUUGGCCCAUGUGGAUCCCAACUUUAACAUGACCAAGAUUGGGUAGGGCUCUCUCUGCCUCCUUGGGCUUCUAGACAGAAAGGUACAGACUGGCCAGAAAGCAGUAUCCUCCUGCAGUGGUCAAGGCCUGCACUGAGCGAGGCACCUGGGAGCCCCCUCUGGGUUCCACAAGCAAUCUCUUCCUCAGCCAACACAGGGAAAUCCAGACUCAGGGUUCCACAAGUCUCCUAUUCCAAAGCAAACCAAUCAUGCAUCUCCCCUUGAGGGACAGAGUCCCCACAGUUCCAAAGCUCUGCACACAAUCAGCCUUCCUCUUCUACUUCUGGGGCAGCAGGAAGGACCCAGGAGCCCCUUGUCCUGCUUCUGGCUGCCUGAGUGGGCACAUGUCUGACUCCUGUUAUCUAUCAGUGAAGAGCCCUUGAUGAUUGUAGGGCUCUAAGAAAAUGACAUGGCCUGGAGGAGAUUCGGGGUACCUUUCCUCAGUGAGCUUUGAUGUGGUCCAAAAAGAGCCUUCAACCAGUAGUUAUCUGUGGUGGAGGUGGGUAUGGGAAGGGUGGAGAGCAGUUUUGGUUUGUGCUUUGAAUUGUUGGCAUCUAUGUUUGUGACCACCCCACCCCCCAAGGGUGAUGCUUAGCUCUGCUAAGAGCUGCAAACUGGUAAGAGAGCAGAUUAUAGUGUGGGGGCUGGGAGAAGUUGGGAGACAGCUCAGUUCUAGCCUGGCCUAUAUCCUUGCCCCGCCCCUCUGGACGCUGUUACCUGGCCAUGGGCCUUCUGUGUCUCAGGAAGGUGGCUUCUGCAUGCUCCUCAGUAUGAAUGCAAGAAAGCAGAAGCCUUCCCUAGUCUGCUGAAGGGAAGGCUGCAGUAUCAGAGUAUUGCUCAUCCCUCCAGAAGCAAGUCAGGCAGGGCCAAGCUUGGUGAAACAGGGUGACGUGCUCCAUGCUCUCUGUGGUCUGGAGUUAGGGUGGGGAAAGGUUGGUAUAAUUGAAGAUUGUGCAGUUCCUAGUGACAGGUGCCAAGAGGUUAUGAUACGGGUUUCUUGGGUCUGUUGUACAGUGUGAAUAAAUGCUUGCAGCUCUUAGCCCUUUUUGAUCAAUGAAGCACUUUUUUAUUAAUAUUUUCUUUGUAUGUAAAGGAGGAAGCGUAACUCCAUAGCUGUACAUAGAACCUUUUCUCCUAAAGAGGAGUCAGCGCUCCUAUAGUUUUCAUUUUUUGUCAAAGCAAGAAGUAAAUACUUUAGAAUUGUUAAAUAUAUAGAUAAAGUGAAUAAAGUUGAGUGUCCGCACGGUGGCAUCUGC